AUACGGAGGGUGCAAGCGUUACUCGGAAUCACAGGGCGUAAAGCGCGCGCAGGCGGUCUUUUAAGUUGGAUGUGAAAGCCUACGGCUCAACCGUAGAACUGCAUCCAAAACUAUUAGACUAGAGUGUGGGAGAGGAAGAUGGAAUUAGUUGUGUAGGGGUAAAAUCCGUAGAGAUAACUAGGAAUACCAAAAGCGAAGGCAAUCUUCUGGAACACUACUGACGCUGAGGCGCGAAAGCGUGGGGAGCAAACAGGAUUAGAUACCCUAGUAGUCC
rnacentral:rRNA from 1 species